UACGUAGGGCGCGAGCGUUAAUCGGAUUUACUGGGCGUAAAGCGUGCGCAGGCGGCCCGUUAAGACAGGUGUGAAAUCCCUGGGCUCAACCUAGGAAUUGCGCUUGUGACUGGCGGGCUCGAGUACGGUAGAGGGGGGUGGAAUUCCUGGUGUAGCAGUGAAAUGCGUAGAGAUCAGGAGGAACACCGAUGGCGAAGGCAGCCCCCUGGGCCUGUACUGACGCUCAUGCACGAAAGCGUGGGGAGCAAACAGG
rnacentral:rRNA from 1 species